rnacentral:rRNA from 1 species
UUAAGUUAGAAAGGGCGCACGGUGGAUGCCUUGGCACUAGGAGCCGAUGAAGGACGGGACGAACACCGAUAUGCUUCGGGGAGCUGUAAGCAAGCUUUGAUCCGGAGAUUUCCGAAUGGGGAAACCCACCACUCGUAAUGGAGUGGUAUCCAUAUCUGAAUACAUAGGAUAUGAGAAGGCAGACCCGGGGAACUGAAACAUCUAAGUACCCGGAGGAAGAGAAAGCAAAUGCGAUUCCCUGAGUAGCGGCGAGCGAAACGGGAUCAGCCCAAACCAAGAGGCUUGCCUCUUGGGGUUGUAGGACACUCUAUACGGAGUUACAAAGGAACGAGGUAGAUGAAGAGGUCUGGAAAGGCCCGCCAUAGCAGGUAACAGCCCUGUAGUCAAAACUUCGUUCUCUCCAGAGUGGAUCCUGAGUACGGCGGAACACGUGAAAUUCCGUCGGAAUCCGGGAGGACCAUCUCCCAAGGCUAAAUACUCCCUAGUGACCGAUAGUGAACCAGUACCGUGAGGGAAAGGUGAAAAGCACCCCGGAAGGGGAGUGAAACAGAUCCUGAAACCGUGUGCCUACAAGUAGUCAGAGCCCGUUAACGGGUGAUGGCGUGCCUUUUGUAGAAUGAACCGGCGAGUUACGAUCCCGUGCAAGGUUAAGCAGAAGAUGCGGAGCCGCAGCGAAAGCGAGUCUGAAUAGGGCGCAUGAGUACGUGGUCGUAGACCCGAAACCAGGUGAUCUACCCAUGUCCAGGGUGAAGUUCAGGUAACACUGAAUGGAGGCCCGAACCCACGCACGUUGAAAAGUGCGGGGAUGAGGUGUGGGUAGGGGUGAAAUGCCAAUCGAACCUGGAGAUAGCUGGUUCUCUCCGAAAUAGCUUUAGGGCUAGCCUUAAGGUAAGAGUCUUGGAGGUAGAGCACUGAUUGGACUAGGGGCCCCUACCGGGUUACCGAAUUCAGUCAAACUCCGAAUGCCAAUGACUUAUCCUUAGGAGUCAGACUGCGAGUGAUAAGAUCCGUAGUCGAAAGGGAAACAGCCCAGACCGCCAGCUAAGGUCCCAAAGUAUACGUUAAGUGGAAAAGGAUGUGGAGUUGCUUAGACAACCAGGAUGUUGGCUUAGAAGCAGCCACCAUUUAAAGAGUGCGUAAUAGCUCACUGGUCGAGUGACUCUGCGCCGAAAAUGUACCGGGGCUAAACGUAUCACCGAAGCUGCGGACUGUUCUUCGAACAGUGGUAGGAGAGCGUUCUAAGGGCUGUGAAGCCAGACCGGAAGGACUGGUGGAGCGCUUAGAAGUGAGAAUGCCGGUAUGAGUAGCGAAAGAGGGGUGAGAAUCCCCUCCACCGAAUGCCUAAGGUUUCCUGAGGAAGGCUCGUCCGCUCAGGGUAAGUCGGGACCUAAGCCGAGGCCGAAAGGCGUAGGCGAUGGACAACAGGUUGAUAUUCCUGUACCACCUCCUCACCAUUUGAGCAAUGGGGGGACGCAGGAGGAUAGGGUAAGCGCGGUAUUGGAUAUCCGCGUCCAAGCAGUUAGGCUGGGAAAUAGGCAAAUCCGUUUCCCAUAAGGCUGAGCUGUGAUGGCGAGCGAAUUAUAGUAGCGAAGUUCCUGAUUCCACACUGCCAAGAAAAGCCUCUAGCGAGGUGAGAGGUGCCCGUACCGCAAACCGACACAGGUAGGCGAGGAGAGAAUCCUAAGGUGAUCGAGAGAACUCUCGUUAAGGAACUCGGCAAAAUGACCCCGUAACUUCGGGAGAAGGGGUGCUCUGUUAGGGUGCAAGCCCGAGAGAGCCGCAGUGAAUAGGCCCAGGCGACUGUUUAGCAAAAACACAGGUCUCUGCGAAGCCGUAAGGCGAAGUAUAGGGGCUGACGCCUGCCCGGUGCUGGAAGGUUAAGAGGAGCGCUUAGCGUAAGCGAAGGUGCGAAUUGAAGCCCCAGUAAACGGCGGCCGUAACUAUAACGGUCCUAAGGUAGCGAAAUUCCUUGUCGGGUAAGUUCCGACCCGCACGAAAGGCGCAACGAUCUGGGCACUGUCUCAACGAGAGACUCGGUGAAAUUAUAGUACCUGUGAAGAUGCAGGUUACCCGCGACAGGACGGAAAGACCCCGUGGAGCUUUAC